CAGUAGCCACGGUAAUACGGAGGGUGCAAGCGUUAAUCGGAAUUACUGGGCGUAAAGCGCACGCAGGCGGUCUGACAAGUCAGAUGUGAAAUCCCCGGGCUUAACCUGGGAACUGCAUUUGAAACUGGCAGGCUAGAGUCUUGUAGAGGGGGGUAGAAUUCCAGGUGUAGCGGUGAAAUGCGUAGAGAUCUGGAGGAAUACCGAUGGCGAAGGCAGCCAUCUGGCCUAAUACUGACGCUGAGGUACGAAAGCAUGGGGAGCAAACAGGAUUAGAUACCCGAGUAGUCCCUGUCUCUUAUAC
rnacentral:rRNA from 1 species